GUGCCAGCCGCCGCGGUAAUACGUAGGGCGCGAGCGUUGUCCGGAAUUAUUGGGCGUAAAGAGCUCGUAGGCGGCUUGUCACGUCGGUUGUGAAAGCCCGGGGCUUAACCCCGGGUCUGCAGUCGAUACGGGCAGGCUAGAGUUCGGUAGGGGAGAUCGGAAUUCCUGGUGUAGCGGUGAAAUGCGCAGAUAUCAGGAGGAACACCGGUGGCGAAGGCGGAUCUCUGGGCCGAUACUGACGCUGAGGAGCGAAAGCGUGGGGAGCGAACAGGAUUAGAAACCCCUGUAGUCC
rnacentral:rRNA from 1 species